GAUGAACGCUGGCGGCGUGCCUAAUACAUGCAAGUCGAGCGAACAGACGAGGCUCUUUCCUCUCUUACGCUAGCGGCGGACGGGUGAGUAACACGUGUAUAACUUACCUAUAAGACUGGGAUAAGUUCGGGAAACCGGAGCUCACACCCGACAAGAGAUUGAACCGCAGGGUUCAUUAGUGAUAGCCGUAUCUGCUGUCACUUAUUGAUGGAUCCGAGCCGGAUUAGCUAGUUGGUAGGGUAACGGCUUACCAAGGCGACGAUGCGUAGCCGAUCUGAGAGGAUGAUCAGCCACACUGGAACUGAGACACGGUCCAGACUCCUACGGGAGGCAGCAGUGGGGAAUCUUGGACAAUGGGCGAAAGCCUGACGCAGCCAUGCCGCGUGUGUGAAGAAGGUCUUCGGAUCGUAAAGCACUUUUAGUUGGGAAGAACGGAAGUGAGAGUAAACCUGCCCGUUUUGACGUUACCAAAAGAGAAAGCACCGGCUAACUACGUG
rnacentral:rRNA from 1 species